ACGGAAGGCAGCAGUGGGGGAUAUUGCACAAUGGAGGAAACUCUGAUGCAGCAACGCCGCGUGAGGGAUGAAGGUUUUCGGAUUGUAAACCUCUGUCCAAGGUGAAGAAUUUUGACGGUAGCCUUGGAGGAAGCUCCGGCUAACUACGUGCCAGCAGCCGCGGUAAUACGUAGGGAGCGAGCGUUGUCCGGAUUUACUGGGUGUAAAGGGUGCGUAGGCGGCAUAUUGGGUCAGGCGUGAAAGAUAACAGCUUAACUGUUGACGUGCGUUUGAAACUGAUGUGCUUGAGUGAAGUAGAGGUAGGCGGAAUUCCCGGUGUAGCGGUGAAAUGCGUAGAGAUCGGGAGGAACACCAGUGGCGAAGGCGGCCUGCUGGGCUUUAACUGACGCUGAGGCACGAAAGCAUGGGUAGCAAACAGGAUUAGAUACCCUGGUA
rnacentral:rRNA from 1 species